rnacentral:rRNA from 1 species
UACGUAGGGGGCAAGCGUUGUUCGGAAUUACUGGGCGUAAAGGGCGCGUAGGCGGCACGGCAAGUCAGGAGUGAAAGCCCUGGGCUCAACCCGGGAACUGCUUUUGAAACUGCCGAGCUAGAGUGCGGAAGGGGCAACUGGAAUUCCCAGUGUAGCGGUGAAAUGCGUAGAUAUUGGGAAGAACACCUGAGGCGAAGGCGGGUUGCUGGGCCGACACUGACGCUGAGGCGCGAAAGCUAGGGGAGCGAACGGG